AGAUAAACACUUGUGACCUUCUCUUGUUAGGUUAAACCACGGAAGAAGUGGCCAGCAGUUAAAUUUGACAUUUUUCUGCUUCAGUAGGCCUACUCUGACUGGAGUGGAAAGCGUUCUGUGAACCCACAACCUUCUGGCCCACCGCCCUGUACGAAUCAAAAAUCCUGCGUUGCCAUGUAAUGCUUACAGGAUGAAGAACGGAUUCUAAAAGGCUCUGAUCUGUCCGAGAAGGGAGGGUACACGCACAGGACUGGAUGAGCAAUGCAAUGACUUCAGUAUCAGAGACCCUCAAGCAGUAGAAGCUGGUGGAAGGAAGAAUGGGAGGACGGCUGGGCUCAUUGUGAUCACACCGCCCUCAGGUAGUGAAGUCAUCUAACAGUCAGAGAGAGAGAGAGGGUGACUUAGACCUGCAGCAUCUGCUGUAGGAUGGUGACUUAAUGUGUUACAGACGGCUAUCAAAUUAUGAGGGAUAUGAUACAUUUAAUGCAGCACAGUGAGCAGAAGGGUGGGAGGUGAGGUACAGUAAAGGAACCUGUGGAGCCUGAUUGUCAGGACUAUGGCCUGUCUGAAUACGCCUGAGAUCCAAUUCUCCCUCUGGGGAUCAGAGGCUCUGUUGCUACUCUGACAAGUUGU